UACGAAGGGGGCUAGCGUUGUUCGGAAUCACUGGGCGUAAAGGGCGCGUAGGCGGCUUUAUAAGUCGGGGGUGAAAGCCUGUGGCUCAACCACAGAAUUGCCUUCGAUACUGUAGAGCUUGAGACCGGGAAGAGGUAAGUGGAACUGCGAGUGUAGAGGUGAAAUUCGUAGAUAUUCGCAAGAACACCAGUGGCGAAGGCGGCUGACUGGUCCGGUUCUGGA
rnacentral:rRNA from 1 species